rnacentral:miRNA from 1 species
CGCGGGUCGGGGUCUGCAGG